GUCUAUGGCCACACCACCCUGAACGUGCCCGAUCUUGUCUGAUGUUGGAAGCUAAGCAGGGUCGGGCCUGGUUAGUACUUGGAUGGGAGACUGGCUGAAGACAGCGAGAACCAAAGGAA
ensembl:rRNA 5S_rRNA 5S ribosomal RNA